GUUUGAUUGGGGUGUUAUCGCUUCGGGUCAUAAACGGUCCUGAAAAUUAAAACGAAAUUAAACAAAUAAACAAAAAUAAACAAAAAUUAAGAAUAAAAGAAAUAAAAACAUUGUAUCUAUAGUCUUUAACUUUCCUAUUUAUCAUAUUAAUUGUAAAAAUAUUUUUAGAUUUAAUGUCGAAACCUCCCCGGCAACAACGCC
rnacentral:lncRNA from 1 species